AUUGAACGCUGGCGGUAUGCUUAACACAUGCAAGUCGAACGGUAACAGGCCUUCGGGCGCUGACGAGUGGCGGACGGGUGAGUAACGCGUAGGAAUCUGCCUCAUAGUGGGGGACAACGUGUGGAAACGCACGCUAAUACCGCAUACGCCCUACGGGGGAAAGCGGGGGACCUUCGGGCCUCGCGCUAUGAGAUGAGCCUGCGUUAGAUUAGCUAGUUGGUAGGGUAAAGGCCUACCAAGGCGACGAUCUAUAGCUGGUCUGAGAGGACGAUCGGCCCCACUGGGACGGAGACACGGCCCAGACUCCUACGGGAGGCAGCAGUGGGGAAUAUUGGACAAUGGGCGCAAGCCUGAUCCAGCAAUACCGCGUGUGUGAAGAAGGCCCUAGGGUUGUAAAGCACUUUCAAUAGGGAGGAAAACCUGUCGGUCAAUACCCGGCAGCUUGACAUUACCUAUACAAGAAGCACCGGCUAACUCCGUGCCAGCAGCCGCGGUAAUAC
rnacentral:rRNA from 1 species